rnacentral:rRNA from 1 species
GUACACGCUGUGACUAGCAUAUCAAUAAGCGGAGGAAAAGUCAAUACCUACGCUUAGGAUGUUGACACACGCGCGUGCUCGACUCUAUACAUGACUCUGUGCAUAAUAAGCGGAGGAAAAGGCUGCAGGAACCUGAACGAUCGCUACCUACGCUUAGGAUGUUGACACACGCGCGUGCUCGGCUCUAUACAUGACUCUGUGCAUAUCAAUAAGCGGAGGAAAAGAAACUAACAAGGAUUCCCCUAGUAACGGCGAGUGAAGCGGGAAGAGCUCAAAUUUGAAAUCUUAAAGGGUUUCCCUUUACGAAUUGUAGUUUAAAGAAGUGUUUUCUGUUGAGGUUUUGGUAAAAGUUCUUUGGAAUAGGACAUCAUAGAGGGUGAGAAUCCCGUAUUUGACCUUUACUUUCAACUUUGUGAUACACUUUCAGAGAGUCGGAUUGUUUGGGAAUGCAGUCCAAAAUGGGUGGUAAAUUUCAUCUAAAGCUAAAUAUUGGCGAGAGACCGAUAGCGAACAAGUACCGUGAGGGAAAGAUGAAAAGAACUUUGAAAAGAGAGUUAAACAGUACGUGAAAUUGUCAAAAGGGAAGCGUUUGACACCAGUGUUGUUUUUCUGAAAAUCAAUUAAAGAACUGUUUAUGCUAAGUUGUUUAGACUUUAUCAGCUAACUGUUUAGUUUUGAGCUUUUCUUUAAUGCACUUUUCAGUUAACAAGUCAACAUCAAUUUCUUUUGCUGUAAAAAAGCUUGAGGAAGGUGGCUUGAGAUUCGUCUUAAGUGUUUAUAGCCUCUUGCCUAUGCAGUCGGAGAGAUUGAGGUCUGCAGCGUAGAUCCUUCGGGGCUAAAUGCAUUUGUGCUAAGUUAUAGCAUUUUAUAGACAACUUGUUGACUAUGAUUUGUCUUGUAGCUUACUCGCUUAUGUUAUUUUACCUACGCUUAGGAUGUUGACAGCAGUAUAGACUGU